GAUGUAUACUAAACCAGUGCAAAGGCCAGAGAAGAGGACAGCGGAAGGUCAUCGCUCUAAAGCUCCAGUAACAAUAAGAGCGACACAUCACCGUACGAAGUGUGCGCCAUGAUACAACUGCUGCCAACAGAUAGAAAGAGGCCUGGCGCUUUUUCUCUCUUCUCUCUUUCCCCUCUUGUCUCCGUCAUCCUCAGUAAACCUCUUCCACGUGGGAAAAAAAGAGGCCUGGCUAAAAGGACAAGGUGAAAUCCUAAAAUAUUCUUCAUCUUUAAAAAAAAAAAAAAAAAAAAAGAGGAAAGGGGAGAACCAAGGAGAGAGAGGGCACAGCUCCUCAACCAGUUCGUGUGAACAGAACUGUUUCCAAAACACAAGAACCACGCAGCAAGGCAAGCAUCUACUGUGCAGGAGAACAAACCUUGUCCUGGACAUCACAGGAGGUGUGGCAGCCUCCCUGACCGAUACCCACCAGAUCACAGACGUUCUACCCUUCCUACACGUGACCAUCAAAACGGUGUGCAGACACUGUCACCUGUCCCCUGUCAGAUACGAAGCGUCCUGUUCGGAAAUGCUCAUCUAACCCCGCCUCCAGGCCAGACC
rnacentral:lncRNA from 1 species